UCAUGUGUCCCUGCAUGGAGGCACAGAGAGGUCAUUUCAUGAGAUGUGACAGUAAACUGAGAUUGUGUUGAAGACCCCAGAAAUUUGGAGGUGCCAGAUCCAUGGAAUGUUUGCCAGGGAGAGCUGAAAACAGCCCAACUGAAUACUAGCCCAAGAGACAGAAGUUACAGUCAGCAAAUCUGGAAAGGAAGAGCCAUUUAAUCCCUUUGACGAUGGACAUGGAACUGCAGGAUUUGGAGUUUUCAUCGUUGGGUUUUGGUUUUGUUUUGGCCUAGUGUUUUCUCUCUACACCAAUACUCCUCCCUUUGAGAAAGUCGUGUAUAUUCUGGGCCAUCAUAUGCUGGAAAUACUACUGGAUGCUUAAUGGGAUCCUGGAAAUGGGAGACCCAGAGGAGAUUCUACCACAUUGCCAGAUACUUCUCCAGUUUGCAGUCAUUUCUGAAUAUCUUAGAAAAACAUGGCAUCUAAUAAUCAGUGCUGAUCGAUGGGUAGUGAGUUCAAAUCAAGA